rnacentral:tRNA from 1 species
GGGGCCGUAGCUCAGUUGGGAGAGCGCCGCAAUCGCACUGCGGAGGUCAGGGGUUCGAAUCCCCUCGGCUCCA